rnacentral:tRNA from 1 species
GCCUCUGUAGCUCAGUGGAGAGAGCGCCCGUUUGCGGAACGGGAGGCCCCAGGUUCGAGUCCUGGUGGAGGCGC